rnacentral:rRNA from 1 species
AUUGAACGCUGGCGGAAUGCUUUACACAUGCAAGUCGAACGGCAGCACGGGGGCAACCCUGGUGGCGAGUGGCGAACGGGUGAGUAAUACAUCGGAACGUGCCCGGUCGUGGGGGAUAACGUAGCGAAAGUUACGCUAAUACCGCAUACGAUCUGAGGAUGAAAGCGGGGGACCUUCGGGCCUCGCGCGAUCGGAGCGGCCGAUGUCCGAUUAGGUAGUUGGUGGGGUAAAGGCCUACCAAGCCGACGAUCUGUAGCUGGUCUGAGAGGAGGACCAGCCACACUGGGACUGAGACACGGCCCAGACUCCUACGGGAGGCAGCAGUGGGGAAUUUUGGACAAUGGGCGCAAGCCUGAUCCAGCCAUUCCGCGUGCAGGACGAAGGCCUUCGGGUUGUAAACUGCUUUUGUAGGGAACGAAAAGGCUCUGGCUAAUACCUGGGGCUCAUGACGGUACCGUAAGAAUAAGCACCGGCUAACUACGUG